GUGCUCGCUUCGGCAGCACAUAUGCUAAAAUUGGAAUGAUACAGAGACGAUUAGCAUGACCCCUGCGAAAGGAUGAGCAUAAUAGUUCCUGGUAAUAAGCGUUUUAUU